UGGGGAAUUUUGCGCAAUGGGGGCAACCCUGACGCAGCAACGCCGCGUGCGGGACGAAGGCCCUAGGGUUGUAAACCGCUUUCAGCAGGGAAGACACUGACGGUACCUGCAGAAGAAGCUCCGGCUAACUACGUGCCAGCAGCCGCGGUAAUACGUAGGGAGCGAGCGUUAUCCGGAUUCAUUGGGCGUAAAGCGCGCGUAGGCGGCUCGCCAAGCGGGAUGUCAAAGCCCGGGGCUCAACCCCGGCCCGCAUCCCGAACUGGCGGGCUUGAGUUCGGUAGGGAAAGUGGAAUGCCCAGU
rnacentral:rRNA from 1 species